AUGAACCCACCAGAAACAGGACAGGACAGCCACAUGUCAGCUCUAGGGCUGGGAGACACCACAAGCUGAGCUACAGACCCAGCCCUUUUGAAAUUUUGAGAAAGGGUCUUGCUAAAUUGCCCAGGCAGGGCUCAUACUCAUGAUCCUCCUGCUUCAGCCUCCCAGAGUGGUUGGGAUUACAGGCAUGCAUCGCCAUGGCCAGCUUAGCAGGAUUUUUUAAUGGAUGCACUUCCUAACAAACUCUGUGAUCAAUUAUACAGGAAGGCAAGGGAGGACACCUUGUAAGGUAAUAUGCAGACGCUCUCUGCUAAACAUUCAUCCUGUGGAAAGAACCAUAGUGGCACAGAUGGCUCCCACCUAAGCAGCAGAAAUUGGGGCUAUGACUUCUUCCUGCACAGAGUUAUGUUUAAAGUUUUAUAAGGAAAUUAAAAUUUCACUGAGUUCUCCCGCAUGUCCAGUGCUUGAGACAAAGGGCACGAGCUAGCAACUGACGCAGGAGGAAUAACUGGCCAUGCAGAAACAGAUUUUCCUAUUAGUAAUCGAAACACACACAGACUGUGCUGGAGCAGUGGGGCUGGCAGAGCUGUAGGAAAGGUCCUAAGUUCAUCUCCUCCUGCAACAGACCGUCCUGAUGGCACCGGCCGCCACAGGGAGCAUCACAGAGCCAGCGGGAUUGAGGGAAUUUUCUGAAGGCAGUCCUCGACUCUGGUGUGGCUCCUGAAACGACCUUUAAUAAGGAGCAAAGGCCACCGCUUGGUCAUCAGAAAUAAAGCUUUCAAAUACAAAAGACAGAUCGAGGCCACCAUGAGGUAAGCAGCUUUCUCAGCCAUCUGCUCCCCGACGAUGCACUGCCUCACCCAGGCCCAACAGCCACAGGCCAACACCGAAGCCUCCAAAGCUGUGCCAACAACGCUCCCCAAUUUACCCGACCACCGUUCUUCACAUACCUUUGCGUCAUCUGCUGUGAUCCAAGCUGAGCAGUUCACUCAAGCACCUGCCGCCACGGGAGAAGCAGGUCAGUGAGCUUCAAGCAAACUGGAGUUUAAUCGGGAUGAUUUUCCCAAGGCCUGCAUGAGCUGUAACAAUCGCGCACACAGGAAACCAUCACGGAACGUUGCCGCCUGCAAAGCCAGUGGCUGGGACACUUUCUGUGACACUGCCACACCACCAUUCACAAGCCAGGCUGCCGUGCACACGGAGCACGUUCAGACGGGAGGGCAACUUGCACAACAGCAGCGUGGAGGAAGGCAGCACGUCGGGCGACAUGGCCUGGGCAGACGGUCUCCACCAGACCCUCCUGGGUCCGUCCUCAAAGGGGCCAAGAGGCCUCCGUGAUUGCUGCUACCCAACACUGCCUCCCAACUCUGGGAAGGGCACUAGUUUCCUGGGAACAAUCCAGCCCUUAGAAGUCAGCUACUUAUAAAUGAAUGCUCGAGGUAGCACUAUGCACAACAGAAGAAACGCAAAAUAACCCAAAUGCCAACAGAUGACUGCAGGAACACAAUGUGGGCUGCGCAAUGGGAUAUGAUCAGCCACCAAAACAGAAAGAGAUUCUGCUCUGUGCCACAACAUGAACGGAUCUUAAAACGUCCUGCUGAGUGAAACCAGCCAGCCACAGCAGGACGACUACUUCCGAUCCCACGUGUAUGAGAUUCCUGGUGCCAGCAAACUGACAGCACGAGGGGUGGGAGUUGCUUCUCACAGGUACAGAGGGUAAGUGGGGGAUGAGGAGCUCGUGCGUGCAGACCAUGGUGAUGCCAUACUGAACCGCGAAUGUACUUCAUGCACCCAAACUGUACACUUAGCAACGACGUCAAUGAUAAAUAUCAUUCAUAUUUCCUCACCAUGAAGUAUUUAAAUAAGCCCUCCUUUUCAUCUCAA